AGUGAACGCUGGCGGUAGGCCUAACACAUGCAAGUCGAACGGCAGCACAGUAAGAGCUUGCUCUUACGGGUGGCGAGUGGCGGACGGGUGAGGAAUACAUCGGAAUCUACUUUUUCGUGGGGGAUAACGUAGGGAAACUUACGCUAAUACCGCAUACGACCUACGGGUGAAAGCAGGGGAUCUUCGGACCUUGCGCGAUUGAAUGAGCCGAUGUCGGAUUAGCUAGUUGGCGGGGUAAAGGCCCACCAAGGCGACGAUCCGUAGCUGGUCUGAGAGGAUGAACAGCCACACUGGAACUGAGACACGGUCCAGACUCCUAAGGGAAGCAGCAGUGGGGAAUAUUGGACAAUGGGCGCAAGCCUGAUCCAGCCAUACCGCGUGGGUGAAGAAGGCCUUCGGGUUGUAAAGCCCUUUUGUUGGGAAAGAAAAGCAGCAGGUUAAUACCCCGCUGUUCUGACGGUACCCAAAGAAUAAGCACCGGCUAACUUCGUG
rnacentral:rRNA from 1 species